CAAAUUACUUUAUUCUCAUCAAAACGGUGAUUAUAAAAUUUUAGAGGAAAGAAGAAAACAAAAGAGACAAUAACGUUAAAGUUCACGCUAAACAUGUAACAUAUCAAUAAAACUGCUUUUAAGGGCCAAAGAUUACUGAUCUUGAUGGAAAAAACCCAUUGAGUUUAAGUUUAGGUUGGCUAUGUGAUUUCACUAACAUUGUUUUUCUUUUAUGCAGAAAGUAGUGUUCUCUCCAUUGAGCAAACUGUUCAUUCCCCUGCUUCCUCCAAAGAAUGCUUUCUCUGCUUUGGAUAUUCUUUCCAAAUUGGAAUGCUCCUUAAAUACUAUCACCGCCUUCCUUAGAUGUUCCCACCCCACUGAAACUCUCAGGGGUUGUAAUAGGUCAAGAAUAUUUUACGAGUAGGUGUCAUGGACUCUAAUUUGAUCAACCUAAAUCUUGGCCAUUGUGGAGGUUGUAAGUUGUAGCUGGU
rnacentral:lncRNA from 1 species